rnacentral:lncRNA from 1 species
CCGAAAAACCAACGUUCGGGAACCGGUCUCUCCCCGCAUGGGACCGGUUUCUCCCCGCGUAGACGCGCUCGGGGACCGGUCUCAUCCGCCAGGGACCGGUUGCCUCAAGGCUGCCGCAAUACUGUUCCGGAGGGACCUGUCUCUCCCAGCCAGGGACCGGUAAAAACUCUCAGGACACGUCCAGAACUCAGAUUUUUGAACUUCUUUAGGUCGGAAAACAUUCUACAACCCUCCACCAAGUGUGGAAAAGCUCGGAACACAUCCAAUCACUCGAACCUCGCAAUUUGCACAGGUCCAGUGUGUUACAUUCACCCCUCCUAAAAAGGAGUUUCGUCCGCGAAACUCAAAGAAACUACAUACCUCAAGACUCCAUUUGAAAAAGAUGGGGAUAGCGUUCCUGCAGCGCUCUCUCUAGCUCCCACGUGGCCUUCCGCUCCCCGUGGUUGUUCUAAAGAACCUUCACAUACGGAAUGUCCCGAUUCCGUAGUUUCUUCACCUCGCGAGCCAAGAUCUUCACAGGUUGCUCCUUGAAACUCAAAUCCUCUCUCAGCUCCAAUGGUGUAGUGUCAAGCACAUGAGCUGGAUCAUGGAUGUACUUCCGAAGGACCGAUACAUGAAAUACAGUGUGUACACCCGAUAGGUUCUGUGGUAGAGCAAGUCGAUACACUACCGGACCUAUACGUUCCAAAAUCUCAUUCGGUCCAAUAAAACGGGGGCUCAACUUUUCCCGAAUUCUAAAUCUUCUAAUCCCUCUGGUAGACGAGACUUUCAAGAAGACGUGAUCUCCAAUCUGAAACUCCAAGUGUCGUCGACGCCUAUCAGCAUAACUCUUUUGCCUACUCUGGGCUAUCAGUAGUUGCUCCCGAGCAAUGCGAACCUUAUCCUCUGCUUCCUGGAGCACAUCAGGGCCUAAAGCCAAUCUCUCGCAAACUUCACUCCAAUGAAAUGGUGAUCUACAUUUUCGUCCAUAGAGUGCCUCAAAAGGUGUCAUCUUGAUGCUUGCUUGAUAACUGUUGUUAUAAGCAAACUCUACCAUCGGUAGAUGCUGCGACCAUCCUCCCUGGAAGUCUAUCACACAUGCCCGGAGCAUAUCCUCUAAAGUCUGUAUACUGCGCUCUGACUGCCCAUCAUUCUGAGGGUGGAAAGCCGUACUGAAAUCCAAUCGAGUGCCUAGGGCGUCGUGUAGACUUCUCCAAAAGUGAGACACGAACCAGGUGUCUCGAUCAGAUACUAUCGAAGUAGGCACUCCGUGAAGUCGCACAAUCUUAUCAAGGUACACUUGUGCGAGCUUCUCCCCGGUCUAAGUAGUAUGAAUAGGUAUGAAGUGUGCCGACUUCGUCAACCUCUCCACGAUCACCCAAAUAGUAUCAUGCCCGGCCUGUGAGCGGGGCAAUCCUGUCACGAAGUCCACGGUGAUCUUCUCCCAUUUCCACACUAGAAUCGGUAGGCUCUGCAAUUUUCCCGCAAGAACACGGUGCUCCGCCUUUAUUUGUUGGCAAGUCAAACAUCUAGCAACAAACUCGCCAACAUCCUUUUUCAUCCCGGGCCACCAAUAGAGCAACUUUAGAUCCUUAUACAUCUUGGUGCCUCCCGGAUGUAUAGCAUACGGCGCUUCUAGUAGAAUUUCUUCUCUAAGUGCCGAUUCCACCGGUAUACAAAUCCGUCCGCGGAAACGCAUCAAUCCAUCAUCGCCCUUAGUGAAAUCACUGGUGCAACCUCCAAUCAUUUUAUCUCUAAUCUUCUGCAACUCCGCAUCGUGAGUUUGCUUUUCUUUAAUCCUCUCCAAAAGUGUAGGUUGCACCACUAAAGUCAUCAGUCUCAAAGGUGUAUCAGGAGCCACCACCUCCAACUCCAACCACUUCAUCUACUCGAUCAACGGCGGUUGAGUAACCACAAGCAUCGCUAAAUUUUCCGUCGAUUUCCUACUUAGCGCAUCCGCCACCACGUUAGCCUUGCCCGGGUGGUAAAGAAUAGUCAAGUCAUAAUCCUUGAGUAGCUCCAACCAUCUGCGCUGCCUCAAGUUCAACUCCUUCUGAGUGAAUAAAUACUUCAAACUCUUGUGAACUGUAUAUACUUCGCAUCGCUCGCCGUAUAAGUAAUGGCACCAUAGCUUCAAUGUAAAGACCACGGCCGCCAACUCCAAAUCAUGAGUAGGUUAGUUUCUUUCAUAAUCCUUCAACUGGCGAGAUGCAUACGCGAUCACUUUUCCAUCCUACAUCAAGACACAGUCCAAUCCAUUAAAGGAAGCAUCACUAUAAAUCACAUACCCUGCUCCAGCAGUUGGCAAGGUUAGGAUCGGGGCGGUCGUCAAUCUCUGCUUCAACUCUUGGAAGCUCCUUUCGCAUGCAUCAUUCCAAACAAACUUGGUGCCUUUAUACGUGAGCCUCAUGAGGGGAGUGGAUAACUUUGCAAAUCCCUCAACAAACCGUCGGUAGUAGCCGGCCAAGCCAAGAAAACUCUGAAUCUCGGUGACACUUGUCGGCCUCGGCCAGUCCUUGAUAGCUUCAAUCUUCUUAGGAUCCACAGCUAUACCUGAUUCUGAAAUCAAAUGACCCAAAAACGCCACCUCUCUAAGCCAAAACUCACACUUUUUCAAUUUGGCAUAGAGCUCCUUUUUCCGAAGUACUUGAAGUACAAGUCUCAAGUGUUCCUCGUGAUCCGCUUCACUUUGGGAAUAUACCAAAAUGUCGUCGAUGAAUACCACGACGAAUCUGUCUAGAUAAGGCUUGAAAACAUGGUUCAUUAGAUCCAUAAAAGCGGCCGGGGCGUUAGUAAGCCCAAACAGCAUAACUGCAAACUCAUAAUGUCUAUACUGUGUUCUAAAAGCCGUUUUCGACACAUCCUCAGGCUUGAUCUUCAACUGGUGGUAUCCCGACUGCAAGUCGAUCUUGGAAUACACACUAGAUCCCUGGAGCUGAUCAAACAGAUCAUCAAUCCUCGGUAAUGGAUACUUAUUCUUGAUCGUGACUUUAUUGAGUUCACGAUAAUCCACGCACAAGCGAAGCGAUCCAUCCUUCUUCUUGACAAAUAGGACCGGUGCUCCCCAAGGUGACACACUCGGUCGCACAAAACCCUUGUCCAGAAGAUCUUGCAACUGUGCCUUUAGCUCCUUCAGUUCCGCUGGUGCCAUCCUAUAGGGCACCUUCGAGAUUGGAGUAGUCCCGGAAAUGAGAUCUACCACAAACUCGAUCUCUCUAUCAGGUGGCAUGCCUGGAAGCUCUGCUGGAAACACAUCCCCAAACUCCCGUACUACAGGAAUAUCCUCAAUCCUAGGGGUGUUUGCAUCGCCCCGCAGUACAACAGUAGCCAAAUAGGCUAUGCAGCCCCUGCUGAUCAACUGCCUAGCUCGAGAGGAGCUAAUCGUCAUCGCAAACAGCGAAUUCUGGCAUCCUCGGUACACAACCUCCGCCUGCCCCGGCUCUCUAAAUGUCACUGUUCGAUUUUUGUAAUCGAUAGUGGCGUAGUAUUUGGUCAACCAAUCCAUGCCCAAAACAACAUCAAACUCUCCGAGUUUAUACAAAGCUAGCAAGUCCACGGGCAUGACCCAAUCUCCAAGCUAAACAGGGCAACUGGGGCAAAACUCUCGAAUAUCCAAAGAGUGAUCGGGUACUACAACUCGUCCAGAAUGCAACAAAGAUGUCAGUGUGAUGCCAUGCAACUCGGCAAACAGCCGAUCUAUAAAUGAAUGCGAUGCACCGGUAUCAAAUAAUGCUCAUACUCGAAUACCAUAAAGUAAAAUGAUACUUGCGACCACAUUCUCGGCUGCUGCCGCCUCCUCAGUCUGGGCCGCAUACAUGCGCCCGCUCGGGGGCUGCCGUGACCCCUCCAACUACCGCUGCACAGGUGGCCGCCCGGCCUACUGGUGUACAGAAGGUGUCCCCUAGCUGGGACCCGGUGAAGCUGGUGCAGAUGCCGAAGAUGGCGGGUGCUGGUGUUGGACCCCUCGGACAGUCCGACUGGAAGUGGCCCUCCUGGCCGCACAGGUAGCACCUACCCCGACUGCGGGAACAUUGCUGUGGGUACUGAGGAUCGCCAUAGAUCACGCAGCGCGGAGCCUGGCGACGAUCGGGUCCUCCUCGCUGAGUAGACGAGCCACGUCCUCGCGACUGGCUCCGGCUCCUGGGAUGCCUCGGCGGCCUCCGUGAGUGCGUCUGGCUCGCACCCUCAGCCGCAAGCCUCUUGCCUUUCCCCUUCUCCAAGCCCUCGCGACGCUCCUGAAGGUCUGCCGCUCCAGCCUUCACGAUGAGUGCACGGUUCACAACCUCCCGGUAGGUUUGGAGGUUGGAGGACUGCACCAACCGAAAGAUCGAAGGUCGCAAUCCACGCUAAAAAAUGUGGGCCUUGUCCUCAUCAUCCCGUACCACAAAAAGUACACAGUGGAGUAGCCGGGAAAACUCUCUCUCGUACUUGGCCACGGUCCGCUCCUCCUGGCGCAAACUGCGCAAAUCCCGCUCCAUCUUUCUCUUAACGCUAGUAGGAAAGUAGUGCGCUAGUAGGAGCUCCUUGAACCUCUUCCAGAUGAUCGCUGUCAAGUCGGUGUUGGGGUUCUCCUGAAUAUCCAACCACCAACGGUAUGCCUCGCCGUCUAAAAAGUGUGUGGCUAGCCAAACUCUGUCCCUCUCUUCCACGAAGGUGUCGCGGAAAAGUUUCUCCAUAUGCAGCAACCACUUCUCUGCUAUCUAGUGGUCGACUUUCUCUCCAUCGAAGAUCCUGGGGUUACACCUCCUGAACUCGUUGAGGCGAUCCAUGAGCUGAUCCCGCUCGGCUCCCUCGGCCAUCACAGGGAAAGCUGCCUUCGCCGCAGGUAUCAGGACCGGUGGUACUGCAACUACCUCCUCCUGUGGUGCGGUCGCCGGUGCCGCACGCGAAGAACUGGGCGCGGGGGAUUGCGCCUUUGGCGCGACGUCCACUACGGGUGCUGGCGGUGUGGGAACCUGAGUCUCCCUAGAAGCUGCUGCCUGCUGUAGCAAGAGAUCCUCCAGGUGCUUCAUCCGCGCCUCUUGCCGCUGUGCCACUUCGGCCUGUCGCUGAGCGGCCGCCGCCUGCUGCGCUACAAGAUCAGUGAGGACCGCAAGCUGGGACCUCAAGUCGCGAACCUUGCUAGAUCCGGAAGUCGCAGAGGUUUCGACCUCCUUGAGGUGUGCCGUAUCGUCCGCUCUGGCAGAUUGGGAGCGUGUAACCGGCAUCUUCACUAUAAAACAAAAGCGCAAGUUAAUAACCCGCACUACCGGAUCCCCGCUCAAAAUAACUAAACCCCAAAUCUUGCGAAAGUAGGGAAGUGUCCUUCACUACUAACUCCCGAUGUUACGUUGUCGGUCGUCAACGUAACCCUCCGCGAAGUUAGAAGCCAUACACUCCGAUUAAACUCUAACUUUUUUUAAGAGUUGUCAUAAGACCCAAUCAUAAUACUUUUGCUCACAAGUCGAAUAGACCUCGUCUCUCACGAGCCUAUUUCCUAUAGUCCAACCGGCCUAAGGUUUGCUAGGUCCUCUAAGACUCAAUCCUAGGCUCUGAUACCAAAUUAAUCUGUCACGCCCCGGGACCCGGCAUAGGCCCGCCCGGUGCAUGUCCAGACCCGCCAUAUGCCUGCGCAUAUAAGGUGUCUACAACAAAAGAGAUGCGAAAGCAAGAAGAAACAAGUAUCUAGAGAUAUCAGAGUUGCUAACAACUAAAAAAAAACUAGCAAUAGGUAGAGAAGGAGUAAAGUAGUCACUAAGCAUAAGCACAAAAAAGGUACAAUAAGAAUUUCAAAGAAAUCCACCGUGGGGUGGUCUCUAUACACAGGUAACUCUCUAAAACCACUCAAAAAAAAAAACAACGAGAGAUGGACCACCUAUCGAAACGUCCCUCGGCAAUUAGCUAGCUCGAGGCGAUACCCUUUCCACGGUCCCUAGCCUCGCCCGGAGUGGAAGGCUCUGUAAAAAAACACGAAAAAGAGGGCGUGAGAACUAUAAUUUAUAGUUCCCAGUGGGCAAUUACUGACCUCAGCUCAAUGCACCACUAGGCCCCAAAAGAAAAGGGUAAGUGCGGUAAACAACAAUAGUAGUAAUAGACAAUAAUAAACUGCAGAAUUGAAAGCAUGAGUGAAAUGCUAUGCCACAAGUAAACGUGAUAUAUAUCAAUGCUAUCAUGUUUGAAAUAGCAAUGUUGAGGGAAUGCGCUCAUCAUAGCUGCCAAGUAUACUAAGAUGCGCUAAGUAAUUCUAUCAAGUAUACUACAUGUCCCAAUAUCUCAAAGCCACACUAUGAGUAUGUCGAAUAGUCCAACUACUAUGAUCUAUCUAGCAGUGAUUCAAAUUUAAGAAUUUAUGUCCAAGUUCAAUCUUGUUUUAGGACCUACACGAGUGUAGUCUGGCUUGCGUCGCCUAAGUGUCGGUGGUAGUUCCAGCAUUUUCACUCUGGAAAUGACUCUAUCCCUCCCGACCCCGUAGGCUUCUCGAUACCGCACGAGCGAUCAUAAGACGCGUAGGCCAACUCCGGAGUGCCGGCUUGUAGAGAGCGACGCUCACAAGCAUGUGCGAAUGAGCACAAAUGGCAAGCAAGCAAAGUCAUCGUCUCAAGUAUCUAACCCUCAUGUCUCUAACAUGGUAAUAGUCACUAGCAUCUCAAUGAUCUAGCACUAGGUCACAAUGUGAAGUUCCAACAUUCACUAAGUCUAGUGCCCCUUUAUGACACUCAGACAAUUCUAUAUUCAAGCACGCUCCAAUUUCCAAAUCUCUCAAUGGCCCUAUCUACUAGGUUCACACAUAAUCCGAGCUCAAUGCCGCUUUAUGACAUUAGCUCACAAUUUCACAAGUCCGUCUAAUGCCUCUUUAUGGCAUUGUAGUAGUUUCUAUGUCCAAUGAGAAUUUAAGUUCAAGGGCACGUACACUUGUUAUUUCUACUAUAAGAAACAUGGUCCCAAACGGAAUGCUAAAUGCAACCAUAAGCCCCACAUGCAACUCUCUACAUAGAGGUCCAAAAAUGCAUUAUAUGUAACAUAGGCAUUUUAAACAUUCUAAAAUUCAUAAUAAAUACAUUUAACAUGAAUAUGCAUGAUUUUUCAAUUUACGAUACUCAAAUCACCAAAUAUGAGAAUUUCUCAUAUUGUAGGCUAGGUCAAACCCACCGAAACUUGCGCAACCAUUCGUUUGCUCCAACGAGGGUGUCCACUAGCCUCCUAGCACCCUAAAGAUGUAGGAACAAAGGUUAAAUGAACCUUACGAUCAACUAUAAGUUCAACAUCAACCAUCUAUGCUCAAGAGGCUAAAAUCUCACCUAUAGUGUAGAAAUCCCUCUACAAAGCUCAAGUGGAAGCUAAAUCCCUUUCAAAGUAACCUAAACCAAGGUUCAAAUCUCAUUAGAUUAGCUCAAAAAGCCUCUAAUCAAAAAGCCCUAAAUAAACUCUUGAUUUCCCACUCUAGGGUUUCAUCUCCUAAAAACCAUCAAAACUAGGUCUAGAGGGGAGAAAAGAGCAACUAACCUCUUAAGAAGCUCCAAUCUAAGCUCCAAGGGUGAAGAUCUUCUCUCUAGCAAGCUCUAAGUCCAAGCCUUCAAGCACCAAAGGGAAGAAGAGAGGGAGAGGAAGAUGCUCCAAGUCCUCUAAUUGCUCUCCUUCUUCUCCUUCCUUUCUUCUCCUUCUCCUCCUUCUCUAUCAAAGGCGUGGGGAGAGUGUGAGGAGAGAAAUGAGGAAGAGGGAAAGUGAAAUGGCCAUAUAGGCCCUCUCAAGCAACAAAAUCCAAAGAAGCCCCUCAAUUUCCCAAUAUUGCAUCAACCCGGACUGGGCAGUUUUUGCCCAGAGGGACCGGUCUCUCCCGGCUGGGACCGGUCCCUCGGGACCAUCCCGAAAAACCAACGUUCGGGAACCGGUCUCUCCCCGCAUUGGACCGGUCUCUCCCCGCGUGGACACGCUCAGGGAUCGGUCUCAUCCGCCAGGGACCGGUUGCCUCAAGGCUGCCGCAAUACUGUUCCGGGGGGACCGGUCUCUCCCAGCCAGGGACCGGUCCCCGAGAGUAAAAACUCUCAGGACUCGUCCAGAACUCAGAUUUUCGAACUUUUUUAGGUCGAAAAACAUUCUACGACCCUCCACCAAGUGUGGAAAAGCUCGGAACACAUCCAAUCACUCGAACCUCACAAUUUGCACAGGUCCAGUAUGUU